AGCUCCUCCAGGUGGAGGCUGCAUCUGACUUCCUCACUCUGUGAACCUGAGGGCAAGAUAAUGCCCAGGACUUAGAGGGUUUCACCAUGUGUCCAUUGGCAGGACAAACACCCACGGAUGUUCAGACAAAUGGAUUAAGUGGAGACUAGGAGCAUAAACAGGUCCUGGGUCACCAGAAUAUUGCACUUAGCAGGAGGUGCUGUUGUAAACAAAGGGAGAAUUUCUCCCACAAGAUAAAACCGUAGCACGGUGGUCUGGGCAAAUUCACAAACCCUCCAUGAUAAAGGGUGACCAAGCCAUGGCUGGUGGCUUCACAGCAGCCUUAGGGCAGGUGUGUCUCAGCCCCUGAAGACCCACGCCUCACAGAGCCUCCUGCUGCCCAGCACCAAAGAGCCUUGUCCCUCCUGGCAUCAGCCUAAGGAGGUGACAGCGUGGUAAGGAGCAGACGUCCAGGUAGACUCCGGGCCCUGCCAUCUGCCAGCUACCGACCUGGGUGGCCUGCUUUGCCUCAGUAGGCUCUCUGCCUGAUGGCCCAAUAGAGGAACCCAUGACAGCGUACGGGUGACUUGAGGGUUAACUGUGAUGCCAAGCGCAUCCUGGGCUGGGCGUGUAGUAUGUGCUCAAUUAACUGCACAUCUGCUGCUUCUCCG